GAUGAACGCUAGCUACAGGCUUAACACAUGCAAGUCGAGGGGAAACGACAUCGAAAGCUUGCUUUUGAUGGGCGUCGACCGGCGCACGGGUGAGUAACGCGUAUCCAACCUGCCCACCACUUGGGGAUAACCUUGCGAAAGUAAGACUAAUACCCGAUGAUAUCCCUAGAAGACAUCUGAAAGGGAUUAAAGAUUUAUCGGUGAUGGAUGGGGAUGCGUCUGAUUAGCUUGUUGGCGGGGUAACGGCCCACCAAGGCAACGAUCAGUAGGGGUUCUGAGAGGAAGGUCCCCCACAUUGGAACUGAGACACGGUCCAAACUCCUACGGGAGGCAGCAGUGAGGAAUAUUGGUCAAUGGGCGAGAGCCUGAACCAGCCAAGUAGCGUGCAGGACGACGGCCCUAUGGGUUGUAAACUGCUUUUAUAAGGGAAUAAAGUGAGUCUCGUGAGACUUUUUGCAUGUACCUUAUGAAUAAGGACCGGCUAAUCCGUG
rnacentral:rRNA from 1 species